UUACAAAGGCAUUACCGAGUACCAUAGCGUGUUUUCCGAAGCGGUCCCCUGCCUGUUGUAAGUCAUUGAGGGAGUGGCUAAAUGGCCCGUAUUGCUGGCAUUAACGUACCUGAG
rfam:Gammaproteobacteria bacterium SG8_47 WOR_8-12_2417, whole genome shotgun sequence.